ACUCCUACGGGAGGCAGCAGUAGGGAAUCUUCCACAAUGGACGCAAGUCUGAUGGAGCAACGCCGCGUGAGUGAAGAAGGGUUUCGGCUCGUAAAGCUCUGUUGUUAAAGAAGAACGUGGGUGAGAGUAACUGUUCACCCAGUGACGGUAUUUAACCAGAAAGCCACGGCUAACUACGUGCCAGCAGCCGCGGUAAUACGUAGGUGGCAAGCGUUAUCCGGAUUUAUUGGGGCGUAAAGCGAGCGCAGGCGGUCUUUUAAGUCUAAUGUGAAAGCCUUCGGCUCAACCGAAGAAGUGCAUUGGAAACUGGGAGACUUGAGUGCAGAAGAGGACAGUGGAACUCCAUGUGUAGCGGUGAAAUGCGUAGAUAUAUGGAAGAACACCAGUGGCGAAGGCGGCUGUCUGGUCUGUAACUGACGCUGAGGCUCGAAAGCAUGGGUAGCGAACAGGAUUAGAUACCCUGGUAGGAUAGCG
rnacentral:rRNA from 1 species